CUUGAGUUUGACUUAACCACGUUACCUUGUAUCUGAACACAGCAUCCAGUGGUAUAUUAGUUCAUACUUGUUUGACCAAAUAAUUGAAAGGAUAUGCUGAUGUUGACACAAAAAGUUCAGCCUAUAAAAAAACAUGUGGACAUGUUAUCUUACAUUUCAUCCUCACUCAGUACAUCUCGUUUCGUUCGUCUUAACAAACCAAUGUAACAUAUUUGGAUGUAUCCGUUUUCAUCUCUCGAAGACUGUGGUGGAGAAUCCAACAAUGCAGACCAUGGAUAUUGAUGAUGACACGUCUCCCAACAAGCCCAGUGUUACAUUUUCAGUACAUUUUCAGUGGUGGAAGAGACCCUCUGGAGUUGCUGCAGUGUGUCUGGGGCUGCUGUGUGUUAUCCUACUGGCUGGGCUCAUAGGCCUGUUUGUCUACUGUAAGUAGGUAAACAUGGAGUCAACGAUCAUCACUACACAACAGAGACCAACAUGCCAAUUACAGCCUUCUGACUAAAGAAGGAGAUCGGCAACCCACCAGCUGUCUUAACUUGACUAAAGAGGGAGACCAGUUUCAAAAAGAGAAAGACCUGCUACAGACAAGUUACAACACCCUGACUAAAGAGAGAGACCAGUUUCAAAAAGAGAAAGACCUGCUACAGACAAGUUACAACACCCUGACUAAAGAGAGAGACCAGCUACAGAACAGUAACAACAACCUGACUAAAGAGAGAGAUGAGAUACAGACCAGCUACAACACCCUGACAGAAGAGAGAGACCAGCUACAGAAUACUCUCACAACCACAACUAAAGACAGAGACCAGUUGCACAAUACUCUCAUCACAAUAACUCGGCAGAGAGACCAGCUACAGAAUAGUCUAAAUACCAGGACCACUGAGAGAGACCAGCUACAGAAUAGUCUAAAUACCAGGACCACUGAGAGAGACCAGCUACAGAAUAGUCUAAAUACCAGGACCACUGAGAGAGACCAGCUACAGAAUAGCCUAAAUACCAGGACGACAGAGAGAGACCAACUACAAGAUAGUCUCACCACAAGCACCAAAGAUAGAGACCAGCAUCAAA